GCCUACCCACAACCUCUCUUCACUUCUUUCACUGAGUGUAUGCUGAAGUGAAUCAGAGCAAUCCAUCUCUCCCUCGCUCCUUUUAUGACAUGUAUAUAGUAUGUUUGGGAGAGCUGGUUGCCAUGGCUCCUGGAACUGCAGAUAGCUCCUUCCCUUCAUCUUCUACCAUCAUGAGAAAGAGGUGGUCAAAAAGAGGAUGCUAUCUAGUGGAGCAAGGACAGUGAGGUCGGAGGUCACAAAGAUGUUCAGGAUGGCAUGGACUAACUAUUCCACCAGAAGUUUCCAACACAAACUCUUAAGCAAUUGUCUGUGUAUCUGCCCUUCAUGCAUAAAGACAUGGAGAGAAAUUGUUUUGAAGGAACAGCAACCAACACAACCAUUCCUGCAGCAGUAAGCAGCUGUUCUAACACCUACUACACUGCAGCUGUUCUAACACCUACUGCUACAUCGCUUCUUCAGCUGCUGUUCCAGGCUCUUGCCAGUCCACUGAUAAGUAUCACAGCAAUCUCUUUGUUUGACUCAUCUCUGCUUUCUUCUAUCUUGAGAAGGGUUAUUUUCCUCCCCUUAACAUCUGAAAUAAUUCUGAUCAAGAUCACAGUGUAAUCUCUCCUAUUAA